rnacentral:lncRNA from 1 species
UGCAGUGCCUAUGCGUUGAUAUAUUAAACUAGCUAGUUAGCUCUAAAAAAUGAAUUGACUUCCAUUUUCCUUCAUCAUUAAUUUCCCUGAUAUAUUAAAUUAGUUAGCUCUAAAAAAACUGAUUUUCAAGUUACUUGUGACAAAUCUAUUUCUGCAUUGAUCUAAACAUCUAACGGAUCUGCUAUAAGGUGAGGGCUCAACUUCAGUAUUUCAGAAUCCAAAACUUCGAGGUACAUACAAACAUAAAGCAAUUGAACAUCUAGAAUUCAGAGGUGAAAAUUAAAAUCUCUUACUCCACAAGGGUGCAUAUGAAAAUCUAGAAUUCAGUUUAAAAGACAGGUAUUUGAAAGAUAACAUACCCACUUCCUCCUUGCUGCAAUGUCCACAUCAUAAUGUUAACUCGAGGCCUUCGUCCUAUAUUCACUAUGAUGUAUUGAUCAUGAGAAAUCACAAAUAAUUAUAAAUUCAUCCAAAAUAUGGAAACAAGGAAUAUAUACCUGCUUAAAAGUGUUUACAACAAUGCUUGAUUCCGAAGACUUUUACAAAACUUCUGGAAGUUCUUGUUCAAAAAAAAAAACUUCUGGAAGUUUAUGAAGAUAAACACAAUAGGAAAUCUGUAAAAAGUACGAUAUGAUAUAGAACUUAGAAAGCUCUCAACAAACUAGCUCCCCUAAAUUAUUCAAAUUCAUUCAUGGCUUCAAAAUCUGCAAGUCAAAGAAUAAAAUAAAUGCUUAUAGUCCUAUUAAGCCUAUUCCUAAGGGCUGCAAAAUACAUAACCUGUAAUUUGAUAUUAAUGGGUGCAACUAAUACUAAUAUAUAUGACAUAU